ensembl:lncRNA
GCGAGAUCUCUGGACAGAGGGGACGAGAGAACCCAACCACCGGGCAGGAAGGAGAGAUGCUUGCAAUUAUUAUCCGGCCGAACCCUUCCAGCAUAUCGCAGCCAUAGCAACAGAGAUGGGCUGUCCCAGCCGGAGUCUGCAGUGCAAUAAAAGGAGAGAGAGGGACGCAGGGAAAGAAAGAGCCUUGCAUUGCACUGGGCAAUCUCCUAAGGGGCUGGCACAAACAAACAGCAACUGGAAGCAACUGGAGCCAAUCCCCCAGCUCCCUUUGUAACGCUUUCUGACACAGAUUCCCUCUCCGUGGCUGACUUUGCAAGUUUCCCCAUCCUCUCCCCUCCUUGCACAGCUCCUUUUCAUGCGACUGAAUUAUACACGAGAGAAGGGACAUGCUGGAAAUUCUAAUAAAAAAUAAAAAUGUGCAGGUUGGUGGAGCUGGCUGCAGCCUUGCUGCCUCCAGGGCUCCUUGUUCGAGCGAAGAGGGACAGGACCGGGUCCCAGGUCAGUAGCAUUAAUGCCUGUCAAUUUUGAAACCACCAAGAAAAAAAUCGCUCCCGUUAAGAGCUGGAGAGCAGCAGGGUACCGCGAGCGCGCAGAGCAGGGCUGCGUCUGCGGCGAGCCCUGCUGCAGAUGCCAGGGCAAUGUCCCUUUAACGCGUGGCUCCUGCUGUCCCAGCAGCCAGAGCACCAUCAGGGACGGAAGAAGAUGCAUUCACUUCCCCUUAGAAAUGUCUCGGUUAUGGGGCUAGUAAAAAAAUAUGCAAAUCCUGCAGGGAUGGGCCUUUGAGUCUUUUCAUGCAAACGCCCCCCCCCAAUAUCUUUAGUUAAAUAGUAGGGAGGGAAAGGCUGAGCAGCAGGGGGAAGAGAAACGCAGGGCCAGAGGGGAGCGCGGGGGUGGAAGGGAGAGGCUGGAGGCUGAGAUCUGACACGACAUGGAGCAAGGACAGGAGAUGCGCGCGGGAUAGCGGCUCCUCCAGACAGCAGGCAUGCGGAGAAGGCUCCUGCUCGCUGCAAGCCCAGCCAGCAUCCCGCGGUGGGUCCGCCGUGCUCUGCAUCGGGAUGCGCGCACACACAAGGUGCCGGUCUGGCUCCGGAGCCACGUGGGUGACUCUCCGGAGCGAUUCUCCAGGGAAGCCCCCAUGAGGCAAGGCAAGGGCUGCUCUGUGGUUAGGACACCGAUGUGCAGCCUGGGUGGGAAGCACCGAGUCCCCAGCUCAGACGGAGAUCCCCUGGGACCACAGGCUUGUUCCUGUGCCUGCGUCCCGUCUCCUCUUCCAGACAAUGAAACGCUGCUCUCCUUCCCAAGGCGCAGCAGGACAAAUAAAGCAAGCACCAUAUGGUGCCAAGACACAGUGGAAACGGGGCCAAACCCAGGAGGUAGAGGAGAUGGCAAGGCUCCAUUUCCACCCCAGUCCCCACCUCAAGCUCCCGACCGGCUGCUGGCCAGGGCUGUCUUUGGGCAAGCACCUCGCCUUGCUGGAGCCGCUCCUCGUCCCCCAGCACUGCCUGCCCCAAAGCCCGGCUCCCCUGCCGGCAGCGGCACAGCCCCUGCAUUUCAGCCAUGGCUUUGCAGUGACUCGCUUGGCCUCUUCCCUGCUUGCAGCCUUUAGGAGCACGGAAACCAAGGCUGUCCAUCCAGAGCCCUACCUCCUGUAAGGGCUUAGCUAGCAACACCGGAGCCACCACGCCGGACCAGCACUGGGGCAGCAUCCUCAGCUGUAGGAGGCAACACCCUGCCACGGGACAGAGCAUGGUCUCCUAUCCUUCCCCCAGAAUUACAGAGUAUAAAUAUUAGUGGAGGCUACAGACAAUUUUUCUCCUAAAGCAUCUGCAGCCCCAGAAGCUGCAAGGGAAUUCUCCCCACAGCUUUAGGAUAGCAGAGAUACAGGACUCCCCGGUGAACAGAGAGCGGCAGCUCACCGCCCACGCGUGCUCCGUGAGUUGCAGGCAAGUCCCUUACCUCCAGACACAGGCACCUAAAGUGAGAUACCUCCAAGCAGAUGCGGGCAUCCAGAUGGCUGGCUUUUCAGAGGUGCUGAGCGCCUGCAAUUCCCUCUGCAGCCAGCUCCGUGGAGGAGACUCGCAUCCCUUGGAGAGCCCGGUCUGCCCUGGGUGCCUGGGGCUAGGGCCCGACACAGGACAGCCGACCUCGCAUUUUCUGCAGUUUUAACAAACAGACGCAAACCUCGGCCGUGCCUGGGAGCCCCCUUGGCAGAGCCCGUGUGGUACAUGCAGUUCCACCCUUGCUUACCCCAUUCCCCGUGAAAUGGCCUCAGAGAGGGAAGCAUUUGGCUCUGCCCUCCAGGCAAGCUGAAUCAAAAGCAGGAUCUCUCCAAGGUUUUGUAGCCAUGGGGUUCAAUUCUUUCGCUUGCUAAUGUGAGCAGAUCAUUUGCACCUGAGUCAUGCUGAUGAAAAUCAAGUAAGUUGUGCAAGCAAGAGUUUAUUGAAUCAUACACAAAAGUGCACGGGUGAUAACGAUCAAACAGGACCCGCUUAGCAGCCCACAGUUCUCUGUGCCACCCUCCUUUCUUGCUUCAAGAGGCAACGCUGCCUCAUGGAAGGAGUGACAAGUACCUUGCGCCCGUUCCCUCCCUGACACCAGCUUCAAGC